rnacentral:rRNA from 1 species
CCUACGGGGCGCAGCAGUGAGGAAUAUUGGUCAAUGGGCGGGAGCCUGAACCAGCCAAGCCGCGUGAGGGAAGAAGGUACAGCGUAUCGUAAACCUCUUUUGUCAGGGAACAAAGGCGGGGACUAGUCCCCGGAUGAGGGUACCUGAAGAAAAAGCAUCGGCUAACUCCGUGCCAGCAGCCGCGGUAAUACGGAGGAUGCGAGCGUUAUCCGGAUUUAGUGGGGUGAAAGGGUGCGCAGGCGGCAUGUUAAGUCAGCGGUAAAAGCCCGGGGCUCAACCCCGGCCCGCCGUUGAAACUGGCAGUCUCGAGUUGGAGAGAAGUAUGCGGAAUGCGCGGUGUAGCGGUGAAAUGCAUAGAUAUCGCGCAGAACUCCGAUUGCGAAGGCAGCAUGCCGGCUCCACACUGACGCUGAGGCACGAAAGCGUGGGUAUCGAACAGGAUUAGAUACCCCUGUAGUC